rnacentral:rRNA from 1 species
CAGUAGCCGCGGUAACACGAAGGGUGCAAGCGUUACUCGGAAUCACUGGGCGUAAAGCGUGCGCAGGCGGUGUUGUAAGACUGAUGUGAAAUCCCCGGGCUCAACCUGGGAACUGCAUUGGUGACUGCAACGCUGGAGUGCGGCAGAGGGGGAUGGAAUUCCGCGUGUAGCAGUGAAAUGCGUAGAGAUCGGAAGGAACAUCUGUGGCGAAGGCGACUAUCUGGGCCAUUACUGACACUGAGGCACGAAAGCGUGGGGAGCAAACAGGAUUAGAUACCCCGGUAGUCCCUGUCUCUUAUAC